ensembl:snoRNA small nucleolar RNA SNORA8
UGCACUGCAUGGUAUCUGCAUUCAGUAGUUUAUUCCUGCUGGGUGUUCAAAGGACAGUGCAAUAUAAAUUCAGUAUCUGGCAUCGUUGGUUUUCUUCGCUUUGUGCAUGUUAAACCUGGUAUUUUUAUUGAGACAUUA